rnacentral:lncRNA from 1 species
GCCUCUCCAAAGGAGGCAAUCAGAUAUGCAUUUAUCUCAGUGAGCAGAGGGGUGACUUUGAAUAGAAUGGGAGGCAGGUUGACCCUAAGCAGUUCCCAGCUCAACUUUUCCCUUUAGCUUAGUGAUCUGGGGCCCCGAGAUUUAUUUUCCUUUCACAAGCCUGAUGGACUGGGCCAUGCCGCUUUUCAAGAAGCCAUUGGAAGCAAGUAUAGAAGCUUCGUCUUCUGUCGGAGAGAAGGGAGGCAGAAGUGUUCUGCCACAGCAGGGAGAGAUGAGGGAUGAGGCCAGGGUGGUGAGGAUGGAAUGAGGGUCCCUGAGAAGGGACCCAGCAAUGCAGUCCCCUCCCUGGGAGGCCUGGAGGGCACCCCGAAGAGAUGGACCUGUGAGUUGCUGCUUGAAGAGGGACCCGCAGCUGACCAAACAGAACAGAAAGACCGAAGAGUAUUAGAGGCAGAGAGUGGAAUGAACAGAGGCCACAACACAAGGAAUCAUUGUCCUAUUUUCAGAGAUCUCUGAGUUAGAGCCUGGGUCUUGGGGGAGGUGACAGAGAGCUGGGGCGGGCCUUACGGGGGGUGGAAUCCCACACCCGUCAUCCAUGCCCGAUGCGGCAGGCCCUGUGCCCAGGGCUCGGGUCCUAGGCUGGUCUCUGCUCCGUGCCGCUUCUGUUCUUAAGGGUGGAAAGAAGAUGUGAGUGGAUAAGCUUGGAUGUGCUGCGGGCUCUAAGGUGAUGGCCAAAGGACACACAGAGCUCUCCUGCAGGAGGAAAGGCAGAGCCUGGCUUGCAGAAGUGCAGGGUGACCUCCUGAGGAGGUUGAAGGAGGCUGGGCAAGUGCUCAGAAAUCUGAAGGUGGUCCCAUGAGAAAUGGGGUGGACUGACGUGGGAGCCAUGACUGCUGCCCAGGGCUUUGCUGUAGACAACCAGAUAGAGGACAGGGGAGGGGCUGCUUGGGGGAGAGGGAGUGGGGACUUUUAUUUGAACCUGAGAUGCCCACUGAGAGUCCAGAGAGGUGACAAGAAGGAGCUGAUGGCCACGCACAGUACUCAGGGAGAGAUGCGGCUGAAGGGCAUUUAGCCCAGGGGCUCUGAGAUUUCAGCGGCUGUCCCAGGGAGGGGAUGCUCGUGGAAGCAAUUGUUUUCCAAUUCUUCUCUGACUGCUCUCAGACAGACAUUCUGAAUCUUUAACUUUACAUGUUUUCUCACGUACUUGUCUAACACGUUCCUUCCUGAUUUACAAACCUUGACCCAUCUUCUAACUCCC